UUAGGAACUCCCGAGAAUUCAAUCCAACAGAAAUAAAGAAACUUUCUUCUCCGGCAAGACAUAUAAAUCUCCGAUUCGAAAUUGGAGAACAUGGUGAGAGAUAUUGAUGCUGAGAUUAGAGACGACCAAUGGCGUAGCGAAGCAUUCUUCGUCAAAGUCUCUGACUCUCUCCACGCCAUUUACGUUCCGAUGAAAUCCAACUACGGCAGUUUGUUUACAUUCGCCUCGCUGAUUCCUUUCACCCUGGCCUCUGUUUCGCCGGCGACGAAAAAGAAGAAUCUUGUUGAGAUGAGGAUGAGUUUGGAUUCCACGAGAAGGAGUUGUUGGGAUCAGAGUCCUCCGGUGAUUCAUCGCCGUGACGCCGCAUUGCUUCUUUCUUCACCACGUCUCAAACCCAAAUCGGGGUUAGGGCCUUACUCUGCACCUAUCAAGAAAGCUGAGAAAGAGAUUUAAGGAACUCGCCAAGAAGAUCAACGAUCUAUGUGGUACCAAGGAGUCUGAUGGUUUAGCUCGUCCCAGUCAAUGGGAUCUUGUAUCUGAUAAGCAAAUGAUGCAAGAGGAGCAACCUCUGCAGGUUGCGAGAUGCACAAAGAUAAUAAUGCCAAACACUG